rnacentral:lncRNA from 1 species
UACUUUCUUCUUAUGCCAGAGAACUUAAAUUCAUUUGAGUUCAUUCAGUUCUCUCACUCUACCUCAUUGCCAUCCUUUAAGCUCUACCUGAACAUCUCUUUUAGUCUUCCAAAUUCAUUUUUCAAUUCUAAAUCAAAAGAGUGAAGUUUAUGUCUAGUUUAUGGUCUAGUUUAUGUUUUAACACCAAGCAACAUGGUAGCCUAUGAAGGGCCUAUAGCUGGGCCAGACUUAAGUAAUGGUUGUCAGACCGCAGAGAGAGGUAGAGGGAAGAAAGAACAAUUUGUUACAAAGCUUGACCACUGCAUUUCAGCAUGCCUGGAGAUAACGUUUAAGGCCAUUUUAAGAAAGUGAAGUGGAGUGCCAGGGAUCUCGCAAGCGCAAGGCCCUGAGUUUGAUCCCUGGUACCAAAAAACAGUGAAGUGGAUCUAAUUACCAUUGGCUUUCCUGAAGGACUCUUAGAAAAUGUGCUGAACAUCAAAGGAGAAGGUUUGUGGGGCAGAGUGCAGAGCAUUAGGGUGAGUGUAAAGAGGGGGAGUAAGGGAAAAGGGCACUAAAUGUUAGUAGUGAGUCAGGAUCACACUCUGUGGUAACAGUGCACUAGUCCCUCUUAUCUCAAAACAGCAUCAGACUGAGAGGGUACUGUUAACAUAUCCCCUCAAGUCCAUCCUCCCACAUGGGAUUUGUGUUAAUUUCACUGAAUUCUCAAAGAGCUAUUGCUGGAAUUCAGUAACUUGGAGCUUCAUUUUAAUUUUGUUUUCUAAAUCCUCAUCACAGACACCUCUUCAUUUUUGCAACUGAUCUCCUCGACAGGCUAUGAAGUGAAACCUCACACCAAAAUCAUCUCUGGGAAGAGUAUUCUAUGGAGGUUGGAAAAGACUUUCAAAAGCUACAUUACAAAUAUAGCAGGUGCUAUCUCAAAAAUUAUCUGAUAUCCAGGGCCAGAUGACUAUGGUGGGGGCACAGGCCUGUCUCACACAGAUUCCCCUUUAUUGAUUCUUGAAAUGGCCCCAUUCUCUUUAUGGAGGAGGAACUAAACCCCAAGCAGAUGCUUGUGAUUAAAAUAAGAGAUAGUGAUAACAGAAGUUUUACCAAGGAUGUCUUCUGCUAUCAGAUAAAUGUCAAGGACUCAAAGAAUUUGGAUAUCUUCUGGAAACAGUAGGUAAAGAAGAGAAUGGAUGAAAACAAGGCUGAAAAGGUAGCCUGAUGUUUGCUCUUGAAGUGCAGUAGGAAGCUUUUGAAGAUUUAAAGGAGUUAAGUGACAUGAUCAGAUUUAGAAUUCAACAGCUUCUUCUUGUGGAGAUUAUCAUGGGACAUGAUGGUAAGUAGAAUGAGUGGUCUGGAGUUUAGGAGUCUACUAUAAUCCAGCAAAAAUAUGAUAGUGGCUUGUCUAGAUCUAGCUUAAAAUAUAUUUGGGUUGCUUUAAUUUUUUAAAGACAAUAUGAUAUUUGAUUAAACACAAAAGUUACAGUGAUUUCUUUAAAUAAUAAUUUCUGAAUCCUUGUAGGCCUGCAGCUCAUACAACUAUUUUUUUUUAAUUGACAUGUAAAAGUUGUUCAGUAUUCAA